rnacentral:rRNA from 1 species
AUGCACGCUGGCGGCGUGCUUAACACAUGCCCGUCGAACGAUGAAGCCCAGCUUGCUGGGUGGAUUAGUGGCGAACGGGUGAGUAACACGUGAGUAACCUGCCCUUAACUCUGGGAUAAGCCUGGGAAACUGGGUCUAAUACCGGAUAGGAGCGCCUACCGCAUGGUGGGUGUUGGAAAGAUUUAUCGGUUUUGGAUGGACUCGCGGCCUAUCAGCUUGUUGGUGAGGUAAUGGCUCACCAAGGCGACGACGGGUAGCCGGCCUGAGAGGGUGACCGGCCACACUGGGACUGAGACACGGCCCAGACUCCUACGGGAGGCAGCAGUGGGGAAUAUUGCACAAUGGGCGAAAGCCUGAUGCAGCGACGCCGCGUGAGGGAUGACGGCCUUCGGGUUGUAAACCUCUUUCAGUAGGGAAGAAGCGAAAGUGACGGUACCUGCAGAAGAAGCACCGGCUAACUACGUG